GUGCACACUUGGCUGUGAAUUAAAAAAGCAAGGAAAGGGCUUAAAGUCAAAAACAUACAGGAUAGUUUCAUUUGAAAGUCUCACUCUCUCUUCAUUCUCCUGCACCCUCUACCUAUAACCAAAAAGAAUUUAGGCCACCUCCCUCAUCGGAGAAGAAGGUGGUAGGCGGGCGGCCACGACGACACCGCCCUCUUCUCCAGUCAACCACCACAAUAAACACCAUUCCCUACAUAAUAAAACCUCCCGAGUUCAAAUCUGAACUCAUAUUUUCCAACAAAAAUCCAAUCGGCUGGAUCAAAACCCCCUAGCCAAAACCCUGGAUCGACCAGAACAAGGCCAAAACGAAAUCCACCUCCCUCACUCUCAGCUCAAAAACCAUAAUGAAUCCUCUUAUGAGCACAAACCCCAAGCUAAAACCCUCUCGGACCUAAUACACAAGCCAAAUCAGACACGAGCUCACAUUGAACCCUAGCCCUAAAAAAAUGAAACUAAAACAAAGCACAAAUCAAAACAGCAAACAAAACACCAAUGAUAUGAGUGAGCACAAACUCAAGUCAACAGGAGAAUUGCAACAAACUUUUUAAUCUGGUUCAACAGCAUAAGGAAGCAUUAUUCAAAAUUUAUAGCAAAAUCAAUUUUAGAGAAAAGAAAAAAGAUAAGGAGUCUACCUAUUGGAGUCCUUCCGAUGAGGCUUCAAAAGAGGUGAGAAAUUGGAAAAACAAAGAAUUGCACCAAGUACACAAUGGAUGAAAAACAAGGUCCAAGGCUGCCUAAGUUAGUGUAUCAGAGGUCUCUUAUCAAAGUGGACAACCAAGUUUAGGUAUUUCCUUGCAAUGUUAGGAUCAUGACUUGUAAAUGAUACCAUGUUAGGAUUUUGGGUUGUGAAUGAUUCCAUCCUAACCCCUUAGUAACUUUUGUAAUUUUUGUAAGACCCAUCAUUGGCUUUAUGUAGCUUUUGGCAUGUAAAAGAAGGUCCUUGUAUAUCUUUUUGAAAGCAAAUAUAACUUGUUUUAAAAGUAAUAACAAUAAAGCUUUUGAUGCA